AAGGUGAAUACAUCCUCUCCCCAGAAUGGGGAACUGAACUACAAACCAGAAUCUGUAGUUUUCUCUGAGUGCAGUUACAGUACUGCCAGUACACAAACCCCACCUGAGUUUGCGCCCUCAGAAGACGAACCACAGCCCAUGUACCAGUCAGAUUAUAUUGUGGGAAAUGAUGUGCAGAUGUUCCUGUCCCCUGGCCGCUCAGGAGGAAGCAUGUGUCGACCUGGUCAGUCAUACUACACUAGAGGAUCCGUGAGAGGAGGAUCCUACAUUCCCCAGGCUCAUCUCAGGGAUUCUGGUCCUGUCCGCUAUGCUGUAAGGGU